GUGCUCAGUUUGGCAGCACACAUAGUAAAAUUGGAGCAAUAUAGAGAAGAUUAGCAUGGUCCUGCACAAGGAUGACAUGCAAAUUCUUGAAGCAUUCCAUAUAAGA